rnacentral:piRNA from 1 species
UCGCACUGCUCCUUUAAUUGU